rnacentral:misc_RNA from 1 species
AGCAGCCGCGGUAAUUCCAGCUCCAAUAGCGUAUAUUAAAGUUGCUGCAGUUAAAAAGCUCGUAGUUGAAUUUCGGGAUCAAUAUGUUGGUCGUGCCUUGGUACGUACUAGCUCAUUGGUUUCUCCCUUCUGACGAACCAUGAUGUCAUUAAUUUGAUGUCAUGGGGAAUCAGGACUGUUACUUUGAAAAAUUAGAGUGUUUAAAGCAGGCUCGCGCUUGAAUACAUUAGCAUGGAAUAAUGAAAUAGGACAUUUGAUUCUAUUUUGUUGGUUUCUAGGAUCGAUGUAAUGAUUAAUAGGGAUAGUUGGGGGCAUUAGUAUUCAAUUGUCAGAGGUGAAAUUCUUGGAUUUAUUGAAGACUAACUACUGCGAAAGCAUUUGCCAAGGAUGUUUUCAUUAAUCAAGAACGAA